AGCGCGCGGGGUGGCCGGGCGGUGGGGCGCGGUCGCUCCGGGGCUAGCGGUCCGGGGCGCGCACGCGCAGUGGCUCACCGGCCACGCCGCGGCUGUUGUGGGUCGGUGGGCGGGGCGGCCGGCUGACAGAGCGAGGCGUCGCCACACCGAGGGCCCUCUCAGGGCUCAGCCUUCCUCAGCGCCAAGCGGCGACGGCUGCGGAGCGUGCAAGCCGCCGUUGCUUCUCCAAGUCGCUGUCUUCCAGUCUCCGGCUAGUGGUCAGCAUGGCCCGUGGAAAUCAAAGAGAAAUUGCCCGACAGAAAAAUAUGAAAAAGACCCAGGAAAUUAGCAAAGGAAAAAGAAAAGAGGAUAGCUUGACUGCAUCUCAGAGAAAGCAGAGGGAUUCAGAGAUCAUGCAACAAAAGCAGAAGGUAGCCAAUGAGAAGAAAUCUAUGCAGACAAGAGACAAAUGAUGACUGGCUUUUUGGAAAACCUGGGUGCUAUUGCCAGUGGGUGCAUCAUAUGCUCUAAGAUCAAAACUUCACAGAGUGACUAAUCAUUACAUGUGUUAUAACUUGUCCUUAUAAAAAUUUCAAAUUUUACUUUUCAGCCUUGCUUGAUGUGAUGUUUUAAGACCAUUCAUCAAAGAAUAAAACCUGACCAUGCACGUAA